GUGUAGUCAGGUCAGUUACAGAUUGCCUCUCAAGAUGUCAACAGAAAUUCAAACUGCACCAGAUUUGAGGGUAAAAUUCAGUAAAGAGGUUCAUAGAUAUGGAAGAGACAAAGAUCAAUGUGAAAUACAGACGUUGGACGAAGGAAACCAACUCUCUGAUCUGGACUUACAACAAACUGAAAAAAACAACCAGAAGAAGCUCCGAGCUGUGAAAAGAAAGAGUUUCAGAGUUUUCAAAGUGUUUCUGGGAGUGUUUUAUCUUCUGGUUCUGGUUGGAUUCAUCAUACGCUCUCUUUUAGUCUCCUUGGAAGUCAACCAGCUGAAGAGCAGAUUUAACGAAAUGACUUUGGACAAAAACCAGCUGCAGACGGAACACGACCAACUAAAUACCAGUUACAGUCGGCUGGAGGCCAAACACGACCAACUGAAUAACACUUAUAAUCAGCUCAAAGAUGAUUACCUUGGUGGAUGGAGAAGAUUUGGAUCCAGUUUUUACAAAAGAUUCCCGGAGAGUAAAACUUGGUCAGAGAGCAGGAGGGAGUGUGAGGAAAGAGGAGCUGAUCUGGUGAUCAUUAACAGCAAAGAGGAGCAGGAUUUUGUGAGACGACUGAACACGAAUAAAAACUCCUGGAUUGGUCUGAAAGCUGAAUGGUCAUGGGAACAGGGACAUGAAUGGAAAUGGGUGGACGGAUCACCAGUGACAACAACGUGAGACAGUGUUUCUUUUAUAAUUUCAUCAAAGUCAUUGUUUCAAAUUGUUAACAGGUAAAACAGCAGAACAUGUUAAAAACUGUAUUUAUUUCUUUAACACAUUUAUUUGAAUGAACAGCUGUGUGAACUCUUCUUCUGCAGAUCUGUGAUUAAUUUUUUUCAUAAAAACUCAACAAUAAGGGUGAUGAAAGAGACUUCAAACUUUCAUUAUCAAUAGUUUUUAAAUAGUGUAUUUAGUUUGUGAUCAGCAGGAGAGAAGAGAUUUGUGGAAGAUGUGCAGACGGAGCUGCUUUCACUGGAAUAAAUGAAUGGAUACCAUGUUGGAGGAUUUAAUGAAGACCUCAUCCAACAUCUGGAAUCAGAACAAAAGUUCUGGGCUGCAGGAUCGUCUCCACAUCAGGAUAACCAAGUUGAAUAUGCUGCAGUGUGUUGUAAUAAUGAAGGGAAAUGGACAUUUUCAUAUCACACUUACUAUAAAAACUGGAUCUGUGAGAAGAAAAUACACGUUUUCAUUGUUGAAUCCUGAUUAACUUCAGAAAACAUUUGGUCACUUUCAUUUAUUGUGUUUCAUGUCAUUUAUAAAUGUGUUUAUUCUGAACUUCAUCAUGUGUACAGGCUAGUGAAGCCGUCAUCAGAACUACAGGAGAACUUGAUAAUACUGAAGUAAAAUAGAAUGAUUGUAAAUAAGUAUAAAUGCAGUUUUUCCUUCACUUUGUGUAAUGUGUUGUUUUAAUUUGAUGUGUGAGGAAUUAAGAGUUGUCAGUUAAAAUAAUUGUUUAUUCUGCUAAAUGUACAUAAACAUUUGUCCUCUUGCUUCAUUUUCCCAAAAACCAUCAGAAAUGAUAUCAACAAAAUGCAAAGUGUAUUUCAGGAACAGAGAAAAAAACAUCAAUAAACAAGGAAACUUGACAAUAGUCGUUGGAUUAAAUGUUUUGGACACAAAGUCUGAAGUUACAAUUUAGUUGUUUUUAACAUGAAAGUGUUUAGAUUAAAGAUACUGAAAUACAAGAACAUGAGGAUGAGAAAACAGACCUGGAUCUUUUUUU